CCAGCUUCCUUUGCCAAAAUGGCUUAGAUCAAGUGUAGUAUCUGUUCUUCUUCAGUUUAAUCGCUGAAAACUGUCCAAACACGCUGGACAGAACGAUUAAAUACAAUUUUUACAACAGCGAUCCCGGGACGCGCGCUGCGGGCUUGCUCGCAGUUUGUCCUGGGAUAUAGUGUCUCUGGUACCACACUGCUUCCAGAUGAUGCGAAAUUGG
rnacentral:snRNA from 1 species